CCUACGGGAGGCAGCAGUAGGGAAUAUUGCUCAAUGGGGGAAACCCUGAAGCAGCGACGCCGCGUGGAGGAUGAAGGUUUUCGGAUUGUAAACUCCUUUUGUUAGAGAAGAUAAUGACGGUAUCUAACGAAUAAGCACCGGCUAACUCCGUGCCAGCAGCCGCGGUAAUACGGAGGGUGCAAGCGUUACUCGGAAUCACUGGGCGUAAAGAGCGCGUAGGCGGGAUAGCAAGUCAGAUGUGAAAUCCUAUGGCUUAACCAUAGAACUGCAUUUGAAACUGUUAUUCUAGAGUAUGGGAGAGGUAGGUGGAAUUCUUGGUGUAGGGGUAAAAUGCGUAGAGAUUAAGAGGAAUACUCAUUGCGAAGGCGACCUGCUAGAACAUAAAUGACGCUGAUGCGCGAAAGCGUGGGGAGCAAACAGGAUUAGAUACCCUUGUAGUC
rnacentral:rRNA from 1 species